rnacentral:lncRNA from 1 species
AAAAAAUAUAUUAAACAGAAUGAUCAGUUUCAUUUUUGUAAUCCUUUCUAAUCUGGUCGGUGUUAAUGUGUUAGCACAUUAAAGGUGCUAUUAUGCUAGUAGUAUUAUGAACCUGAAACAGAUUCACUGCCAACAGAAAUUAACUCAAUAAGUUGAAUCAUUCUAGGUGAAACAUUCAGUUCAAAAGAAUUCAAUCAAUGAUCAAAUAUCGAUAUGUACCUUAAGAGUUUUAUCAACUUGACAAAUAAUCUGUAUUAUGGUUUUAAAAUAUAAAACUUUAGAUUACACAUUCAUCUUAUGCUUUAUUUGUAGCACAUUAAAUUUAGUAAUAAAAGAAAUAUUUUGAAGACUCUUUAUGCUACUACUAAUUGUUAAUACUUUGAUAUUAAAAGGAGAAUAACUAUGA